rnacentral:rRNA from 1 species
CCUACGGGAGGCAGCAGUGGGGGAUAUUGCACAAUGGGGGGAACCCUGAUGCAGCGACGCCGCGUGGGUGAAGAAGCGCCUCGGCGCGUAAAGCCCUGUCAGCAGGGAAGAAAAUGACGGUACCUGAAGAAGAAGCCCCGGCUAACUACGUUCCAGCAGCCGCGGGAAUACGUAGGGGGCAAGCGUUAUCCGGAUUUACUGGGUGUAAAGGGGGCGCAGACGGCGAUGCAAGCCAGGAGUGAAAGCCCGGGGCCCAACCCCGGGACUGCUCUUGGAACUGCGUGGCUGGAGUGCAGGAGGGGCAGGCGGAAUUCCUGGUGUAGCGGUGAAAUGCGUAGAUAUCAGGAGGAACACCGGUGGCGAAGGCGGCCUGCUGGACUGCAACUGACGUUGAGGCCCGAAAGCGUGGGGAGCAAACAGGAUUAGAUACCCGAGUAGUC